GUUUGGAGCAGAACUGAUUUUAAAUCUCCGCUGCGUGGAUUUGAAGCAGGUUCUAGGAGAAAGACUUGAAAAUGCUUGAGAGGCCGGCCUGUGGUAGACAUGGGAGGACUGAGAGGGUACUGCUACCUGCUGAGAGGCCCCAGAGCUAUUC